rnacentral:rRNA from 1 species
UACGUAGGGUGCGAGCGUUGUCCGGAAUUAUUGGGCGUAAAGAGCUCGUAGGUGGUUCGUCGCGUCGAAUGUGAAAUCCCGGGGCUCAACUCCGGGUCUGCAUUCGAUACGGGCGGACUAGAGUUCGGUAGGGGAGACUGGAAUUCCUGGUGUAGCGGUGAAAUGCGCAGAUAUCAGGAGGAACACCGGUGGCGAAGGCGGGUCUCUGGGCCGAUACUGACGCUGAGGAGCGAAAGCGUGGGGAGCGAACAGG